GACGAACGCUGGCGGCGUGCUUAACACAUGCAAGUCGAACGGAAAGGCCCAGCUUGCUGGGUACUCGAGUGGCGAACGGGUGAGUAACACGUGGGUUAUCUGCCCUCAACUUUGUGAUAAGCCUGGGAAACUGGGUCUAAUACCGGAUAUGAUCAACUGUCGCAUGGUGGUUGGUGGAAAGCUUUUGCGGUUGAGGAUGGGCCUGCGGCCUAUCAGCUUGUUGGUGGGGUAAUGGCCUACCAAGGCGACGACGGGUAGCCGACCUGGGAGGGUGAUCGGCGUCCAGGGUACUGCGACACGCCGCAGGUUCGAACGGUGGGCAAGAGGGGGAAAUCUUGCCCAGUGGGCGCAAGCCGGAGAAAGCGGCGCCCCGGGGGGGAAGACGGCUUGCGGGGAAAAAAACGCUUUCACCUAGGACGAAGCUGGAGUGACGGUACCUAAAGAAGAAGCACCGGCCAACUACGUG
rnacentral:rRNA from 1 species